rnacentral:lncRNA from 1 species
AGAAUCUAUUCAAGGGAUAUUCGGAGAUUAGCUGAAUCCUACUCAAGAACAAAUUGACAGAUUUUCCCUCUAAAAACCAAAAUUUAAAAGUCAAAAAUUCUUAUGAAUCAAAACAAAGUAGAUUGCAUAUGUUGAGGGGGAGAAUCUGAAUUUUAAGCAAGCUAAAUCAUUAAAGAUAUAUAAGCCAAACAAUUGAUUGCAUGAUAUGAAGGCUUAUAUAAUUCCAAAUGAAAGGGGGAGCUUUAACUCCAAAAUUUAUUGUUUCACACCUUUCAAGCUUGGAUAUAUUAAAUUAACAGACAUAUGAAUUCAUUUAUGGAUUUUAUUUCCUUAUUUAUUGAGCAAUUCACUUUACAUAUACUCAAAGUUUUGUCAUCAUCAAAAAGGGGGAGAUUGUGGAGUGAUUGAUUAAAAUCCUAUUUGAUUUUGAUGAGCUCAAAGCAUUAGAGUAUAUAUGUUGUUUACUAAUGAAUUCAAUUGAGUGUUUCAGUGAAAAUCUUGUCUAAGUGUCU